rnacentral:rRNA from 1 species
CCUACGGGGGGCUGCAGUGGGGAAUAUUGGACAAUGGGCGAAAGCCUGAUCCAGCCAUGCCGCGUGUGUGAAGAAGGCCUUCGGGUUGUAAAGCACUUUCAGUGGGGAAGAAAGCCUUGGGGCUAAUACCCUCGAGGAAGGACAUCACCCACAGAAGAAGCACCGGCUAACUCCGUGCCAGCAGCCGCGGUAAUACGGAGGGUGCGAGCGUUAAUCGGAAUUACUGGGCGUAAAGCGCGCGUAGGCGGUCUGAUAAGCCGGUUGUGAAAGCCCCGGGCUCAACCUGGGAACGGCAUCCGGAACUGUCAGGCUAGAGUGCAGGAGAGGAAGGUAGAAUUCCCGGUGUAGCAGGGAAAUGCGUAGAGAUCGGGAGGAAUACCAGUGGCGAAGGCGGCCUUCUGGACUGACACUGACGCUGAGGUGCGAAAGCGUGGGUAGCAAACAGGAUUAGAUACCCGAGUAGUC